GAACGAUACUCACCAGCUGAGAGAGUGAGCCACCAGACGGUGUUUGGAGGAAGGAUUCCAAAGUGGUCCAAAAUGCGCACCUCUGGCCUCCCUGCUGGCUGAGCGCCGUCACAGAGGAGUGACAAAAAAGGAGCUGGGACAAACUCGCACAGGCCACGGCAAGUAGACUUUCAAAACCCAAGUCCGACGCUUCCGGCAAAGGCUCAAGCGUUCUCGGCAAUAGCUCCACCCACAGGCCGUGCUAACUGCCGUGGGGACGUCAAUCCCCUCGGAAGAUCCUCCCGCCUGUACCCUCUGCGGGUUUAGAAGCUAAAGGGAACGACAGCUGUUCUGAGCUGGGAGCGAGUGGCCCCAGGGCUGGGAGCACGCUCUGAGCCCGAGUCAGGAAACCUGAGCUCGGGCCUGGCUAGGCCACAGUGUGCCCUGGCCUCCUGGUGACUUCACCCCUCUGAGCCUGUGCCCUGAUAUGCCCAGCAAGGGGCAGUCCUGCACAGCCACUGCACAGGGAUGGAGUCAGAACAAGUGACACAAUGUGUAUAAAAUUACUUUGCAAAGCUUAGAGCGUUGUACUGACAUGAGGGUCAUUAGACAGAAAAGUGCGGACAGAUGAAAGGGGUAGGCCGCUGAUUUCUCAAGGUACUUUACUCAGUAGUAGGAACAAUCCUUUAUUUGUUCAGUGCUUGAUAAUUCACAAAGGGUUUCUGGGUUCUUUAUCUCACCUGAGCCUCACAACAACCUAGCAAGGCAGGGCAGGGAUUAUUCUCCCUGACCACUGAGCAGGUAAAGAAAAGGAGGGCUAUUUUCCCAUGGUCCUACAGUCACAGAGCCAGGACUAAAACCCCCUUGUGAUAGCUCUCUAUGCUCCUUAUGAUGGGCCCAUUAUGGUGUUCUCUGUUUCAGUUACUGCAACCCCAUGGGGCAAUUUCCCACAAAACGUGUGAGCACAUCCUAGCAGGCCCCAGAGCCCCCCUGUGACUGGAAGGGGUGGGGAGGGUGGGGAGAGAGUAAAGAAGGCUGCGGUUAUCUCAUUAGCAAUGGGAAGUUACUAAAAGCAGGAAAAUACUGUGAUCAGAUCUGUGUUUUGUUAAAAAAUGCUUUCCUUCUCCACCUCUUCUUUAUCUGCUCCUUUUUUUUCCUUCUUCCCUCUUCUUCCUCCUUCUCCUCUUUAUUCUUCAUUUACUUUGUAUAAUUCCCCACAAAGAGAAAGAAAGGAAAAUUCUGGGACUUUCCAUCACCAAAACCCUUGCGUGUUCAUCAAGCUGAAGUCCUAACUGGCUGGCUCCUUGUAUUUAUAGGACACCAGGGUCCUGCCCAGAGACUCCGCUCUCUGGGGUGGAGGAAAGGGGGAAGGGGGCGUUCUAGAAGCUUCAUGCUCCAGGAGCAACGCCAGGAUUCAGCGAAGGAGUAGGAUGUAGCAGGCAUGUACGGCUGGAACCAGGCCCCUGGUCCCUCCCUGGCCUUCUGGAAAGAGCCUUGCCUCAAGGACUGCCUGAAAUAGCCCAGAACCUGAGAUCCUGGCCGUGUGCUCUUCUCCACUGGGUGUCUGCCACUCAAGAGUUCACACUCCCCAGGCCACUAGCAAAUGGCCAAGUGGCCGAUGUGUAAUCUGGGGUGCCCCCGCCCCAGGACGUCUUCCUCCCCAGUUCCCUUAGAUUACAGGCCUAACUUCCUCUCCAGUUGGUGUCUCCUACAUAGAUCACAUGCCCAGCAGCUGGGUCCCCAGUCAGAGAGUUUGGGGAGGAUCUGAACAGAAAUGGCAAGCACAUCUGCCCAUGCACGUGUGCGUGCAUGCGUGUGCAUGCGUGACGAGUGUGUGACAUCUUGGGAGGAAGGGGUUCACGCUGUCUCUACAGAGAACCUCUGCCUCAUUCAUCUUGCUCAGUAUCAUAUCGCCAGCACCACGCAAGUGGUUGGCACCUAACAAAUAUUCUCUGAAUAAAUGAAUGAAUGAACAAUGAAUGAACCGGUGAGGAUCGUGGCCUGGAUAUAGCAACCAGAGAGGCCUUGGAGACCUCGCCAGCACGUUUCUAAGGAGUCCCAGCAGGGCAGGCUGGUGGUGAUGGUAAAGGAGUCAGCAAGGCAGUGUGGGAAGCCUGUAAGGGGUCUGGAGGAGGCCGCAGGGCACAGGAGGGGUGGGGGUGGCGUGGGGAUGGGAAAGACUGUUUGAACAGAAAGCAAGAGUCCUGUUGAGAAUGUCACCGGCCACAGGCCCUCUUGCACCCGCAUCCAUAGCAGCAGUCUCUCUUUUCUCGUGUGUGUAUGUGUGUGUUUAAUUUGAGAGAGAGAGAGAAUCUCAAGCAGACUCCGUGCUCAGUGCAGAGGCCGAGGCAGGGACCUGAGCCGAAAUCAAGAGUCGGACGCUCGACCGACUGAGCCGCCCAGGCGCUCCUCUAUGAAAACGUUAAAAUUCAAGAGAAAUGGGAGUGAUUUUUGUUGUUGUUUUUAAUGUUUAUUUAUUUUUGAGACAGAGAGAGACAGAGCAUGAACGGGGGAGGGUCAGAGAGAGGGAGACACAGAAUCAGAAGCAGGCUCCAGGCUCCAAGCUGUCAGCACAGAGCCCGAAGCAGGGCUUGAACUCACGGACCGUGAGAUCCUGACCUGAGCCGAAGUCAGAUGCCUAACCAACUGAGCCACGCAGGUGCCCCUGGGAGUGAUUUUUGAAGGUGAUGAUUUCUUUGGCUCUUCCUCCACACUGGUCCCCUGUUUGUCCAAGGCCUGUCCUCCCUUCAGCCCCCAGUCCAGUGACAGUGGAACUUUUUCAGCACCUAGAGCCUCUUGGGUGCCCGUGGACCCCCUCAACCUGCAUAGUUUAGUAUUGAAUCAGCUAUGGUCUUUUACUGUCUUGUUUAUUUGUUUUUGAGGAAUAUUACCAUUAAUUUCACAGUUCACACGUAGCUCAUCAGCACUUACGGAUGAACUGGGAACAAUUUUGGGUCCCAGGAGACCUCCCCCUCUCCUGGGAUGUUUAACACUCCUACUGUUGCCCAGCUGGUGUCUGCUCGGGGAGUUCAUGAUAAUUUUAAUUUUGGCCAAAAAUGGAAACAAAGAAUCCUAUGGGUUGAGCUGUUCCUUAGGGGCUUCACGGGCCUUGUUCUCUCUCUAGUUCCUUAGUAGCUUCCUCCAGGCCAGGAACGGUGUCUCCUGUUCUCUACCUCUCAUAAGACCAAGCGCUGGUGAACAUAUUUUAAAUGUGCUGGUUGAUAUCCCUGUUGGGUGAUUUCAAAGUCAAUCUUGUUAAAGAAGCAGAAAAACAAGCCAAAAAAGCUCGGUUGGAAGGGUUUCUACUCAUAGCCUGGUUCACAGAGUCCCCGGGGCCUGCAAAUCUCCCACUGACAUAUGGCCCCGUGAUAUUUACUCUAGUCUCAGAAUCCUGGUGUAACUAUGGGCGCCUUUCCUGGGUUCCAUGUUCUGGAACCUCCCUCCUCCUUAGGGAGUUACCUUCUUACCACUUACUUCUCCAGAACGACUCCCUUUGUAGCCAGAGCCAACAGAGAUGCUCCUUCCCACACUUCUUGGAAUGCCUCCAUCAGUCCCAGUUUCUACUUUAAGGAACAUACUUUGUCCAAGUAACUGGAAGGAAGGCAGAGCCUGAGCGUGAACUUCACUUUCCAGAAGGGACCCUGCCUUCUCUGGUACACAGUGGAUAAUCCCUUCCUUCCAGCCCAACAGGAAGGCCUACUUCAAUCAUUUAAUGCCCUGAAUAAGCAUACAAGACAGACAUAUAAAGCGUCAUGAGGACUCAGGGACAAAGAAUGUCAACCCAAAGAAAUCUUUUUCUUUUGCAGGGAUAUUCUUCACGCUGGCAGGCUGUCGGGAAGAUACGUGGGGACCCUGGGAUUUUCCUUUCGCUUUCUUGUGCUCUCAGAAACCACCCCCUGGUGACUCAGAAACACGAAGGUAAGGGCCAGGUAGGUGGGGCACAGCUUCCCAUCCAGGUUUACCCAGUUUUACCAGACAGAGGAGCGCACUGAGGCUGUAAGCAAGAGAGGAAGCCCCAAAGAGAGGAAGGACAGGGUGUUGGUUCCUCAACUUGUUGAGACCAGAGUUGUGUAGCAAGACAAACUUGAGUGUGCUCAGCAUUUCUCCUUCCUGACUUGGGUUUCACCUUAGCCCCAGUUCAGUGGCAGCCCUGUUGGCUCAGAGGGCUGAAG
rnacentral:lncRNA from 1 species